GCAUUAUCUCCCCCCCCCCCCUCUCUGAUUUCUAGUUAAAUGCUGAGUUGUCCACUUUCUCUCAUUUUUUUUCAAAGCUGAGAGAACCAGAGAAAAGGCAUGGCCGUCACCUACCAGCAGCCCACCCAGCUGGUCGCAGUCACCAGCUCUCAAAGUGUUGGGCAGUGGAGCACUGGCCUCUGUGAUUGCUGCGGCGAUGUGGGCACCUGUUGCUGUUCCCUGUGGUGUUUCCCCUGCAUGCAGUGUGAUACAGCCAACAAACAUGGAUGGUGUUGCUGCAUGCCACUCCUGGAUGGUCUCUGUUGUUGUCUGGUGUCCUGCUUUCUCCGCAAGUCCAUCAGAGAGCGCUACAACAUCCAGGGCUCUUGCUGUGACGACUGCUGUAAAAUAAUUUGGUGUUACGAGUGUGUCUGGUGCCAGAUGCAUCGUGAGGUGAAGAUCAGGGCCAACCAGCAGCCCACCACCGCGAUGAUGGUCGCCACAUAGGCCACGUGUUGAUAGGAAGUGACUGUUUUAUUUUGUGGGUUGAGAGCAAAUGUUACUGUUAAAACCAGAUGUUUUGAGUUUUGUUGGCAUAUUAAUG